rnacentral:tRNA from 1 species
ACCGAGAAGGUUUACGGUUCGAGUCCAUAUAGCCCUA